rnacentral:lncRNA from 1 species
GACCUUCUGGUCUUGAUCUGACAGCUUUGUGAUUACAGUGGGACACUAAGGGAGCUGCCACCAAGUGGGAAUGCUGGAUGUCAGAAGCAGAACCUUAAACAACUUUGGCAUUUGGUGGAGAAACAACACAGAUGGGCAUACCAGAGUAACUUGCUCACAACAGCCCUUCAUUCCCUACAGCCUUUCAUUCCCAGCAAAGAGCGUGAGGAGGAACCACUGCUUUGUAGUGCACUUACAGUAACUGGCUGUACCUGCUGGCACUUCCUGGAAAAGCAGAAAUAAACUUUCAUAAUAUCCUUUAACA